rnacentral:rRNA from 1 species
GGUUGAUCCUGCCAAUAGUCAUAUGCUUGUCUCAAAGAUUAAGCCAUGCAUGUCUAAGUAUAAAUAGUAUACAGUGUAACUGCGAAUGGCUCAUUAAAACAGUUAUAAUUUAUUUGAUAAUGAUUUUACAUGGAUAACCGUGGUAAUUCUAGAGCUAAUACAUGCUAUUAGGCCCGACUUACGAAGGGUUGUAUUUAUUAGAUAUAAGCCAAUAUUCCUCGUGUCUAUAAGGUGACUCAUAAUAACUGAUCGAAUCCCUUUUUGGGAUAAAUCAUUCAAGUUUCUGCCCUAUCAGCUUUCGAUGGUUGUGUAUUGGACAACCACUGGCAAUAACGGGUAACGGAGAAUUAGGGUUCGGUUCCGGAGAGUUGGCCUUAAAAAUAGCCAACACAUCUAAGGAAGGCAGCAGGCGCGCAAAUUACCCAAUCCUGACUCAGGGAGGUAGUGACAAGAAAUAACAAACUGGGGGCUUCGGCUCUACGGUAUUGCAAUGAGAACAAUUUAAAACCCUUAACAAGGAACAAGUGGAGGGCAAGUCUGGUGCCAGCAGCCGCGGUAAUACCAGCUCCACUAGCGUAUAUUAAAGUUGUUGCAGUUAAAAAGCUCGUAGUUGAACCUCUGUCUGGGCGUGGUUUAGGCUUCGGUCUUGCCAUGUCUAGGCAUUCGCUUGCGAACCUUUCUCGGCAUUUAGUUGUUCGGUUAGGGGAGUAAGCAUUUUACUUUGAAAAAACUAGAGUGUUUAAGGCAGGCCAUUGCUUGAAUACAUUAGCAUGGAAUAAUAGAAUAGGGCACCGGUCCAUUUCGUUGGUUAUUGGAUUAGUAUAAUGAUUAAUAGGGACAGUUGGGGGCAUUUGUAUUUAAUUGUCAGAGGUGAAAUUCUUUGAUUUAUUAAAGACAAACUUAUGCGAAAGCAUUUGCCAAGGAUGUUUUCAUUAAUCAAGAACGAAAGUUAGGGGAUCAAAGACGAUCAGAUACCGUCGUAGUCUUAACUAUAAACUAUUCCGACUCGGUGUUGACAUAGCUCAUAUAACUAUGCCAGCGCCGUAUGAGAAAUCAAAGUCUUUGGGAUCCGGGGGGAGUAUGGUCGCAAGGCUGAAACUUAAAGGAAUUGACGGAAGGGCACACCAGGUGUGGAUACUGCGGCUUAAUUUGACCCAACACGGGGAAACUUACCAGUUUAAAACAAGGGUGGGAUUGACAGAUUGAGAGUUCUUUCUUGAUUCUUUGGGAGGUGGUGCAUGGCCAUACUUAGUUGGUGGAUUGAUUUGUCUGCUUAAUUGCGUUAACGAACGAGACCUUAACCUGCUUAAUAGACGCUACUUGCAUAAAGUAGUGCUCUUCUUAGAGGGACUUUGUAGUCUCAACUACAAGGAAGUUUGAGGCAAUUAUAGGUCUGUGAUGCCCCUUG